rnacentral:lncRNA from 1 species
AUUUAAAAAAAUGUGUCACGUAGGACCGUCCAGUCAGCAACCCCGACGAACCGGAGCCUGUCGCGUGACAAGGCACGCGAACUUGGUGCCACGCAGGAGGCCACGCUGGCAAUCCUCAUGCUCGCAAUCGGACGGUCUAAAUUUUUUCCCGUGUGCAUAGACGGUCCAGAUCCGUUCUCUCUUCAGGUGUGAUCGAACGGUCA